GGGGGUAUAGCUCAGGGGUAGAGCAUUUGACUGCAAAUCAAGAGGUCCCUGGUUCAAAUCCAGGUGCCCCCU
rnacentral:tRNA from 1 species